rnacentral:rRNA from 1 species
UACGUAGGGAGCAAGCGUUGUCCGGAAUCAUUGGGCGUAAAGCGCGCGUAGGCGGCCCUGUAAGUCCGCUGUGAAAGUCAAAGGCUCAACCUUUGAAAGCCGGUGGAUACUGCAGGGCUAGAGUCCGGAAGAGGCGAGUGGAAUUCCUGGUGUAGCGGUGGAAUGCGCAGAUAUCAGGAGGAACACCAAUAGCGAAGGCAGCUCGCUGGGACGGUACUGACGCUCAGGCGCGAUAGCGUGGGGAUCAAACAGG